rnacentral:rRNA from 1 species
CUCCCCGGGUGACGAGCGGCGGACGGGUGAGUAAUGUCUGGGAAACUGCCUGAUGGAGGGGGAUAACUACUGGAAACGGUAGCUAAUACCGCAUAACGUCGCAAGACCAAAGAGGGGGACCUUCGGGCCUCUUGCCAUCAGAUGUGCCCAGAUGGGAUUAGCUAGUAGGUGGGGUAAUGGCUCACCUAGGCGACGAUCCCUAGCUGGUCUGAGAGGAUGACCAGCCACACUGGAACUGAGACACGGUCCAGACUCCUACGGGAGGCAGCAGUGGGGAAUAUUGCACAAUGGGCGCAAGCCUGAUGCAGCCAUGCCGCGUGUGUGAAGAAGGCCUUCGGGUUGUAAAGCACUUUCAGCGAGGAGGAAGGUGGUGAGCUUAAUACGCUCAUCAAUUGACGUUACUCGCAGAAGAAGCACCGGCUAACUCCGUGCCAGCAGCCGCGGUAAUACGGAGGGUGCAAGCGUUAAUCGGAAUUACUGGGCGUAAAGCGCACGCAGGCGGUUUGUUAAGUCAGAUGUGAAAUCCCCGGGCUCAACCUGGAACUGCAUUUGAAACUGGCAAGCUAGAGUCUCGU